CUGCUUACACCCCGGACGCUUCCGUUACCGAUAGCAGAAGAAAAGGGAGGGGCAACAGUUGUUACUGGCAACGCUACAUCGGAUCGUCACAUAGAGAGGCGAGGCCUGACCCAAAAGGUAUCUCUGAAGGCCUUCAUCAGGGAACAUCUGAACAGAAUGGACAUAUAUUCAUCCAUGGGACUUGCCAUCAUGCAAAUACAGAUGAGACAGAUGAUGCAGUUGCAACAGUACUCAGUUUUCCUUGGAAUGUCAUAAUGAUCACAGCUUCCUAAGGACUAGAAAAGAGCAAAUCUCAAGAAAAGCAAGAAAGAGGAUCCAAGGAACAACAGACUAGUCUGCCUGGCAUUGAUUCUGGGAGAAGUGAUGGAACAAAUCCUUCUGGAAAUUAUUUUCAGUAAUAUGAAGGUAAUUGGCAGUUGACUUCCAAAGAGAUAUCAAGUCUGACUAAAUUCUCCAGUGGAACAAUUUUCUUCCUAAUGAGAGAAACUACCUGAACUGCUGAGCUCAAGUAAUUGCUUCCAGUGGCAUAAGGACCGUGCAUAUGAUUAAGGGAUUAGAGCAUCUGACAUGUAAAAAGAGUGAGAAAUCUGAAAUUAUUUAGCCUCAAGAAUAGAAGGUUUGUCAAAACCUAGCAGCUGAUAGUGGGGGCAGAGCAAGGAAUAUAGAAUCAAAUUCUUGGUGGCAUCUAGUGAAACGACAAGCAGCAAUGGACACAAAUGAAAAUACAGGAAAUUCCAAUUAAACCUAAGAAAAACUUAAUACUACCCUUACAUUGUGUAUGACCAAUUGCAGACACAGUUAGUCUAGGGAGGCUGCAGUUUUCAUCCUUUGAGCUAUUCAAAAUCUUUCUGGACAAGGCUUAUGCUUUGAGAAGUGAAGUUGGGCUAGAUAAUUUCCAGAGACCUCUUACAACCUCAGUCAUUCUGUGAAAGGUGUUCAAUGCAUCCUUGAAAAUCUUGCCAAAUUCUUCCCUUCCUUUUGUUGUUCCUGUCCGUUACAUGAGUACUGAGGAGUUGGUGUUUCAGAACUGGAAUGAUCACAUCCUGUAGCUCAGGUUCCUCUUUGGUAUUUUCACACAAUAAAAACAGCAUAAUCUCC